UGGGGAAUUUUGCACAAUGGGGGAAACCCUGAUGCAGCGACGCCGCGUGAUUUAGAAGGCCUUCGGGUUGUAAAAAUCUUUUCUAUGGGAAGAAAAUGACAGUACCAUAGGAAUAAGGACCGGCUAAUUACGUGCCAGCAGCCGCGGUAAUACGUGAGGUCCGAGCGUUGUCCGGAAUCAUUGGGCGUAAAGGGUACGUAGGCGGGUAAGCAAGUUAGAAGUGAAAUCCUAUAGCUCAACUAUAGUAAGCUUUUAAAACUGCUCAUCUUGAGGUAUGGAAGGGAAAGUGGAAUUCCUAGUGUAGCGGUGAAAUGCGCAGAUAUUAGGAGGAAUACCGGUGGCGAAGGCGACUUUCUGGCCAUAACCUGACGCUGAGGUACGAAAGCGUGGGUAGCAAACAGG
rnacentral:rRNA from 1 species